UGUACUUGUAUUUUGUUGUUGCUAUUACAGCGAUCAGAAAUAAAAGCUAUGGACAUCAAGAUUUGAAACUGGUUACGUUGCACCAGGAUCAAAAGGUUCCAGUCAGGGGAUUUGGGAUGAAGGUGAAAGGAGGCAAAUACUCUGACGAUGGGCACUUGUAUGCAUACGUCGCUUGUACAGUUGCUGGAGGACUGGCUGAAAAGAAAGGCAUCAAACAAGGAGACCGAAUACUGAACUGGAAUGGGGUUUCACUGGUAGACAAGACCUUUGAAGAAGUGACUACCGUGAUUCAACGAGAAACGGAAACCGUUGAGAUUCUGGUCGAGAAAGUCGCCUGGA